GAUGAACGCUGGCGGCGUGCCUAAUACAUGCAAGUCGAGCGAACAGACGAGGAGCUUGCUCCUCUGACGUUAGCGGCGGACGGGUGAGUAACACGUGGAUAACCUACCUAUAAGACUGGGAUAACUUCGGGAAACCGGAGCUAAUACCGGAUAAUAUAUUGAACCGCAUGGUUCAAUAGUGAAAGACGGUUUUGCUGGCACUUAUAGAUGGAUCCGCGCCGCAUUAGCUAGUUGGUAAGGUAACGGCUUACCAAGGCAACGAUGCGUAGCCGACCUCAGAGGCUGGUCGCCCGCACUGGAACUGAGACACGGUCCAGACUCCUACGGGAGGCCGCAGCAGGGAAUCUUCCGCAAUGGGCGAAAGCUUGGCGGAGCGACGCCGCGUGAGUGAUGAAGGUCUUCGGAUCGUAAAACUCUCUUAUUAGGGAAGAACAAAUGUGUAAGUAACUAUGCACGUCUUGACGGUACCUAAUCAGAAAGCCCCGGCUAACUACGUG
rnacentral:rRNA from 1 species